rnacentral:rRNA from 1 species
CUUAGGCGUGUGACUGCGUACCUUUUGUAUAAUGGGUCAGCGACUUAUAUUCUGUAGCAAGGUUAACCGAAUAGGGGAGCCGAAGGGAAACCGAGUCUUAACUGGGCGUUAAGUUGCAGGGUAUAGACCCGAAACCCGGUGAUCUAGCCAUGGGCAGGUUGAAGGUUGGGUAACACUAACUGGAGGACCGAACCGACUAAUGUUGAAAAAUUAGCGGAUGACUUGUGGCUGGGGGUGAAAGGCCAAUCAAACCGGGAGAUAGCUGGUUCUCCCCGAAAGCUAUUUAGGUAGCGCCUCGUGAAUUCAUCUCCGGGGGUAGAGCACUGUUUCGGCAAGGGGGUCAUCCCGACUUACCAACCCGAUGCAAACUGCGAAUACCGGAGAAUGUUAUCACGGGAGACACACGGCGGGUGCUAACGUCCGUCGUGAAGAGGGAAACAACCCAGACCGCCAGCUAAGGUCCCAAAGUCAUGGUUAAGUGGGAAACGAUGUGGGAAGGCCCAGACAGCCAGGAUGUUGGCUUAGAAGCAGCCAUCAUUUAAAGAAAGCGUAAUAGCUCACUGGUCGAGUCGGCCUGCGCGGAAGAUGUAACGGGGCUAAACCAUGCACCGAAGCUGCGGCAGCGACACUGUGUGUUGUUGGGUAGGGGAGCGUUCUGUAAGCCUGCGAAGGUGUGCUGUGAGGCAUGCUGGAGGUAUCAGAAGUGCGAAUGCUGACAUAAGUAACGAUAAAGCGGGUGAAAAGCCCGCUCGCCGGAAGACCAAGGGUUCCUGUCCAACGUUAAUCGGGGCAGGGUGAGUCGACCCCUAAGGCGAGGCCGAAAGGCGUAGUCGAUGGGAAACAGGUUAAUAUUCCUGUACUUGGUGUUACCGCGAAGGGGGGACGGAGAAGGCUAUGUUGGCCGGGCGACGGUUGUCCCGGUUUAAGCGUGUAGGCUGGUUUUCCAGGCAAAUCCGGAAAAUCAAGGCUGAGGCGUGAUGACGAGGCACUACGGUGCUGAAGCAACAAAUGCCCUGCUUCCAGGAAAAGCCUCUAAGCAUCAGGUAACAUCAAAUCGUACCCCAAACCGACACAGGUGGUCAGGUAGAGAAUACCAAGGCGCUUGAGAGAACUCGGGUGAAGGAACUAGGCAAAAUGGUGCCGUAACUUCGGGAGAAGGCACGCUGAUAUGUAGGUGAAGUCCCUCGCGGAUGGAGCUGAAAUCAGUCGAAGAUACCAGCUGGCUGCAACUGUUUAUUAAAAACACAGCACUGUGCAAACACGAAAGUGGACGUAUACGGUGUGACGCCUGCCCGGUGCCGGAAGGUUAAUUGAUGGGGUCAGCGCAAGCGAAGCUCUUGAUCGAAGCCCCGGUAAACGGCGGCCGUAACUAUAACGGUCCUAAGGUAGCGAAAUUCCUUGUCGGGUAAGUUCCGACCUGCACGAAUGGCGUAAUGAUGGCCAGGCUGUCUCCACCCGAGACUCAGUGAAAUUGAACUCGCUGUGAAGAUGCAGUGUACCCGCGGCAAGACGGAAAGACCCCGUGAACCUUUACUAUAGCUUGACACUGAACAUUGAGCCUUGAUGUGUAGGAUAGGUGGGAGGCUUUGAAGUGUGGACGCCAGUCUGCAUGGAGCCGACCUUGAAAUACCACCCUUUAAUGUUUGAUGUUCUAACGUUGACCCGUGAUCCGGGUUGCGGACAGUGUCUGGUGGGUAGUUUGACUGGGGCGGUCUCCUCCUAAAGAGUAACGGAGGAGCACGAAGGUUGGCUAAUCCUGGUCGGACAUCAGGAGGUUAGUGCAAUGGCAUAAGCCAGCUUGACUGCGAGCGUGACGGCGCGAGCAGGUGCGAAAGCAGGUCAUAGUGAUCCGGUGGUUCUGAAUGGAAGGGCCAUCGCUCAACGGAUAAAAGGUACUCCGGGGAUAACAGGCUGAUACCGCCCAAGAGUUCAUAUCGACGGCGGUGUUUGGCACCUCGAUGUCGGCUCAUCACAUCCUGGGGCUGAAGUAGGUCCCAAGGGUAUGGCUGUUCGCCAUUUAAAGUGGUACGCGAGCUGGGUUUAGAACGUCGUGAGACAGUUCGGUCCCUAUCUGCCGUGGGCGCUGGAGAACUGAGGGGGGCUGCUCCUAGUACGAGAGGACCGGAGUGGACGCAUCACUGGUGUUCGGGUUGUCAUGCCAAUGGCACUGCCCGGUAGCUAAAUGCGGAAGAGAUAAGUGCUGAAAGCAUCUAAGCACGAAACUUGCCCCGAGAUGAGUUCUCCCUGACUCCUUGAGAGUCCUGAAGGAACGUUGAAGACGACGACGUUGAUAGGCCGGGUGUGUAAGCGCAGCGAUGCGUUGAGCUAACCGGUACUAAUGAACCGUGAGGCUUAACC